UCAACCUUCAGCCGGACUCCCAUCCAUGCACGAAGCCGCAGCGAGCCCGAUCCAAAUCCCGCGAGAUUCACCCGAUCCCGAAUUCCCUGCUCCAAUCUGCGGGCACCAAGAGACCCAUCUCAAUCCCCUCGCCGGAUUCCCGCAUCCACCCCUCAUUUUCCCCGUUGGAACCGAGAGCACGGACCCCGCCGAUCUCCGCCGCCGGAAGCUCCUCCUCCGACGAACUGCACCGCGACCACACACUGCUGGUUCGAGCGCCCCACAUAAACCCGAAGAUCCCCGCCGACGCUGGAGCUCCAACGCCACUGCAGCGCCAGCAAAUGACGCUCCCAUCUCCGUUGAAGCCACCAUCGCCUCAGCCAUCGCAAGCUGCAUCCUCCCGUCACCUCAUCUUCGCGGAGAGCCACCAAAGGCCUACGCCCGAAGCUACCACCGUUUCCCCCCUGCUUCCGGUGAGCACACGCGCGCAAAUCCACUUCGGCCAACCCUAGCGCGACACGUGGCCACAUCUACAGUAUCCGCGGCAGCAGCUCAAUUCGCCGCCAUGGCAGCAAUUUCAGCAUGUCAAAAACGCUGCCACGGCAGAGUUUUUCUCAUAUCUCAAACCGAACUUCAUUCUGCUAUAUCUUCAAAUCUGUAUAUCCAAACCCAAUGAAACUUUUCCUAUAUGUUCAUAUUGAUCUUACCUAUCCAAUAGAAUCAAUAGUUUCAACUUCUAAACUCUUCAAAUUGAUCAAUUCAAAUUUGUUUUCAAAUCAUGUGUUGAUCAUAUCUUGAAAAUUGUUUACCAUAUCCAAUUGAUUCCUUUUGCCUA